rnacentral:rRNA from 1 species
GAGUUUGAUCAUGGCUCAGAACGAACGCUGGCGGCAGGCUUAACACAUGCAAGUCGAACGCGUGUAGCAAUACACGAGUGGCGCACGGGUGAGUAACACGUGGAUAUCUGCCUUUUGGUUCGGAAUAACCCUGGGAAACUAGGGCUAAUACCGGAUGGUUCCUACGGGAUAAAGAUUUAUCGCCAAAAGAUGAGUCCGCGUACGAUUAGCUAGUUGGUGAGGUAAUGGCUCACCAAGGCGACGAUCGUUAGCUGGUCUGAGAGGACGAUCAGCCACACUGGGACUGAGACACGGCCCAGACUCCUACGGGAGGCAGCAGUGGGGAAUAUUGGACAAUGGGGGCAACCCUGAUCCAGCCAUGCCGCGUGAGUGAUGAAGGCCUUCGGUUGUAAGCUCUUUUGGUCGGGGACGAUGAUGACGGUACCGUAAGAAUAAGCACCGGCUAACUUCGUGCCAGCCGCCG